CACGUAGGGGGCAAGCGUUGUCCGGAUUUAUUGGGCGUAAAGAGCGUGUAGGCGGCUGGGUAGGUCCGUUGUGAAAACUCGAGGCUCAACCUCGAGACGCCGAUGGAAACCCUCCAGCUAGAGUCCGGAAGAGGAGAGUGGAAUUCCUGGUGUAGCGGUGAAAUGCGCAGAUAUCAGGAAGAACACCCGUGGCUAAGGCGGCUCUCUAGUACGGUACUGACGCUGAGACGCGAAAGCGUGGGGAGCGAACAGG
rnacentral:rRNA from 1 species